UCCUUGGUAGCUCAAUGGUAGAGCAAUCGGCUGUUAACCGAUCGGUUGUAAGUUCGAGUCUUACCCAAGGAG
rnacentral:tRNA from 1 species